GCUGGGUGUGGUGGUACACACCUGUAAUCCCAGCUACUCAGGAGGCUGAGGCAGGAGAAUCGCUUGAACCCAGGAGGCGGAGGUUGCAGUGAGCCAAGAUUGUGCCACUGCACUCUAGCCUGGGUGACAGAGUGAGACUCUGUCUCAG
rnacentral:sRNA from 1 species